rnacentral:rRNA from 1 species
GUAGUCUCGCACAGAUGCAUAUCAAUAAGCGGAGGAAAAGAAACUAACAAGGAUUCCCCUAGUAACGGCGAGUGAAGCGGGAAGAGCUCAAAUUUGAAAUCUUAAAGGGUUUCCCUUUACGAAUUGUAGUUUAAAGAAGUGUUUUCUGUUGAGGUUUUGGUAAAAGUUCUUUGGAAUAGGACAUCAUAGAGGGUGAGAAUCCCGUAUUUGACCUUUACUUUCAACUUUGUGAUACACUUUCAAAGAGUCGGAUUGUUUGGGAAUGCAGUCCAAAAUGGGUGGUAAAUUUCAUCUAAAGCUAAAUAUUGGCGAGAGACCGAUAGCGAACAAGUACCGUGAGGGAAAGAUGAAAAGAACUUUGAAAAGAGAGUUAAACAGUACGUGAAAUUGUCAAAAGGGAAGCGUUUGACACCAGUGUUGUUUUUCUGAAAAUCAAUUAAAGAACUGUUUAUGCUAAGCUGUUUAGACUUUAUCAGCUAACUGUUUAGUUUUGAGCUUUUACUUUAAUGCACUUUUCAGUUAACAAGUCAACAUCAAUUUCUUUUGCUGUAAAAAAGCUUGAGGAAGGUGGCUUGAGAUUCGUCUUAAGUGUUUAUAGCCUCUUGCCUAUGCAGUCGGAGAGAUUGAGGUCUGCAGCGUAGAUCCUUCGGGGCUAAAUGCAUUUGUGCUAAGUUAUAGCAUUUUAUAGACAACUUGUUGACUAUGAUUUGUCUUGUAGCUUACUCGCUUAUGUUAUUUUACCUACGCUUAGGAUGUUGACGCGCGUGUGUGCGUG